UUGCCACCAUUGCCACGAUUGCCACCAUUGCCACCAAGUAGGUAUGAUAAAAAACCACAAACUCUGCGACUUUCCCACCAUUGCCACCAUUGCCACGGUUGCCACGGUUGCCACCAUUGCCACCAAGUAGGUAUGAUAAAAAACCACUAACUCUGCGACUUUCCCACCAUUGCCACGGUUGCCACGGUUGCCACGGUUGCCACCAUUGCCACGGUUGCCACGGUUGCCACGGUUGCCACGAUUGCCACCAAGUAGGUAUGAUAAAAAACCACUAACUCUGCGACUUUCCCACCAUUGCCACCAUUGCCACGGUUGCCACGGUUGCCACCAUUGCCACCAUUGCCACGGUUGCCACGGUUGCCACGGUUGCCACGAUUGCCACCAAGUAGGUAUGAUAAAAAACCACUAACUCUGCGACUUUCCCACCAUUUCCACCAUUGCCACCAUUGCCACGGUUGCCACGGUUGCCACCAAGUAGGUAUGAUAAAAAACCACUAACUCUGCGACUUUCCCACCAUUGCCACGGUUGCCACGGUUGCCACGGUUGCCACCAAGUAGGUAUGAUAAAAAACC
rnacentral:lncRNA from 1 species